CCAAUAGCGUAUAUUAAAGUUGUUGCAGUUAAAAAGCUCGUAGUUGAAUUUCGGAAUCAGUACGUUGGUCGUGCCUUCGGUAUGCACUGGCGUCACUGGUUCCUCCUUUCUGAAGAACCGUGAUGUCAUUAAUUUGGUGUUGCGGGGAAUCAGGACUGUUACUUUGAAAAAAUUAGAGUGUUUAAAGCAGGCUCACGCUUGAAUACAUUAGCAUGGAAUAAUGAAAUAGGACGUUUGAUUCUAUUUUGUUGGUUUCUAGGAUCGACGUAAUGAUUAAUAGGGAUAGUUGGGGGCAUUAGUAUUCAAUUGUCAGAGGUGAAAUUCUUGGAUUUAUUGAAGACUAACUACUGCGAAAGCAUUUGCCAAGGAUGUUUUCAUUAAUCAAGAACGAAAGUUAGGGGAUCGAAGACGAUCAGAUACCGUCGUAGUCUUAACCAUAAACUAUGCCGACUAGGGAUCGGAUGAUGUUAAUUUUAUAAUGACUCAUUCGGCGCCUUACG
rnacentral:rRNA from 1 species